rnacentral:rRNA from 1 species
UGGGGAAUUUUGGACAAUGGGGGAAACCCUGAUCCAGCCAUCCCGCGUGUGCGAUGAAGGCCUUCGGGUUGUAAAGCACUUUUGGCAGGAAAGAAACGUCAUGGGUUAAUACCCCGUGAAACUGACGGUACCUGCAGAAUAAGCACCGGCUAACUACGUGCCAGCAGCCGCGGUAAUACGUAGGGUGCAAGCGUUAAUCGGAAUUACUGGGCGUAAAGCGUGCGCAGGCGGUUCGGAAAGAAAGAUGUGAAAUCCCAGAGCUCAACUUUGGAACUGCAUUUUUAACUACCGGGCUAGAUUGUGUCAGAGGGAGGUGGAAUUCCGCGUGUAGCAGUGAAAUGCGUAGAUAUGCGGAGGAACACCGAUGGCGAAGGCAGCCUCCUGGGAUAACACUGACGCUCAUGCACGAAAGCGUGGGGAGCAAACAGG